AGGUGCGAUCAUACCAGCACUAAUGCACUGGAUCCCAUCAGAACUCCGCAGUUAAGCGUGCUUGGGCGAGAGUAGUACUAGGAUGGGUGACCUCCUGGGAAGUCCUCGUGUUGCACCUUUUU
rnacentral:rRNA from 1 species